UUGUCUCAAAGAUUAAGCCAUGCAUGUCUCAGUACAAGCCGAAUUAAGGUGAAACCGCGAAAGGCUCAUUAAAUCAGUUAUGGUUCCUUAGAUCGUACCCACACUUACUUGGAUAACUGUGGUAAUUCUAGAGCUAAUACAUGCAAAUAGAGUUCCGACCGGAGACGGAAGGAGCGCUUUUAUUAGAUCAAAACCAAUCGGCGGCGUUCGGGUGCGCUAGUGCUCGUUCGUCGUCGUACUUUCUGGCGAAUCGGAAUAACUUGUUGCUGAUCGCACGGUCUCGCACCGGCGACGCAUCUUUCAAAUGUCUGCCUUAUCAACUGUCGAUGGUAGGUUCUGUGCCUACCAUGGUCGUUACGGGUAACGGGGAAUCAGGGUUCGAUUCCGGAGAGGGAGCCUGAGAAACGGCUACCACAUCCAAGGAAGGCAGCAGGCGCGCAAAUUACCCACUCCCGGCACGGGGAGGUAGUGACGAAAAAUAACGAUACGGGACUCAUCCGAGGCCCCGUAAUCGGAAUGAGUACACUCUAAAUCCUUUAACGAGGAUCAAUUGGAGGGCAAGUCUGGUGCCAGCAGCUGCGGUAAUUCCAGCUCCAAUAGCGUAUAUUAAAGUUGUUGCGGUUAAAAAGCUCGUAUUCAAAUCUGUGUCCCGCGCCGCCGGUUCAUCGCUCGCGGUGUUAACUGGCGUGUAUUCGCGGGACGUCCUGCCGGUGGGCUUAGCCGAGCGCGUCGCGUCGCGCGUUCGUCCGAGAGCCUCGCGCAAUCGGCACGUUCGUGCGGCCGGCGCGUCAGGCGGCCCAACUUGAAAUCCCGCCGCUAUGCUCUUCGCCGAGUGUCGAGGCGGGCCGGCACGUUUACUUUGAACAAAUUAGAGUGCUUAAAGCAGGCUAGAUUUCGCCUGAAUACUGUGUGCAUGGAAUAAUGGAAUAGGACCUCGGUUCUAUUUUGUUGGUUUUCGGAACCCCGAGGUAAUGAUUAAUAGGAACGGAUGGGGGCAUUCGUAUUGCGACGUUAGAGGUGAAAUUCUUGGAUCGUCGCAAGACGGACGGAAGCGAAAGCAUUUGCCAAAAACGCUUUCAUUGAUCAAGAACGAAAGUUAGAGGUUCGAAGGCGAUCAGAUACCGCCCUAGUUCUAACCAUAAACUAUGCCAGCUAGCGAUCCGCCGAUGUUCCUCCGAUGACACGGCGGGCAGCUUACGGGAAACCAAAGCUUUUGGGUUCCGGGGGAAGUAUGGUUGCAAAGCUGAAACUUAAAGGAAUUGACGGAAGGGCACCACCAGGAGUGGAGCCUGCGGCUUAAUUUGACUCAACACGGGAAACCUCACCAGGCCCGGACACCGGAAGGAUUGACAGAUUGACAGCUCUUUCUUGAUUCGGUGGGUGGUGGUGCAUGGCCGUUCUUAGUUGGUGCAGCGAUUUGUCUGGUUAAUUCCGAUAACGAACGAGACUCUACCCUGCUAAAUAGGCGUUCUUCCGACAUCUCGAAGGCCCGCCGGCCUCCCGGCUCGGCCGUUCGCUCCUCCUCUUAGCCAUUCUCUUUCCGGGUUUGGCGACGGGGGUGGUAGUCGGCGGUCGUGGUCGCGGUCGCGCGCGGUUUUUACUGUCGGCGUACAAACAAUUCUUCUUAGAGGGACAGGCGUCUUCUAGACGCACGAGAUUGAGCAAUAACAGGUCUGUAAUGCCCUUAGAUGUUCUGGGCCGCACGCGCGCUACACUGAAGGAAUCAACGUGUCCUCCCUGACCGAGAGGUCCGGGAAACCCGCUGAACCUCCUUCGUGCUAGGGAUUGGGGCUUGAAAUUGUUCCCCAUGAACGAGGAAUUCCCAGUAAGCGCGAGUCAUAAGCUCGCGUUGAUUACGUCCCUGCCCUUUGUCCACACCGCCCGUCGCUACUACCGAUUGAAUGAUUUAGUGAGGUCUUCGGACCGGUACGCGGCGACGUUUCGACGUCGCCGAUGCUGCUGGGAAGAUGACCAAACUUGAUCAUUU
rnacentral:rRNA from 1 species